UACGAAGGGGGCGAGCGUUGUUCGGAUUUACUGGGCGUAAAGGGCGCGCAGGCGGCGCAUUUUGUCAGGCGUGAAAGCCCCGGGCUUAACCUGGGAACUGCGUUUGAUACGGAUGGGCUAGAGUUCGGGAGAGGAGAGUGGAAUUCCCAGUGUAGAGGUGAAAUGCGCAGAUAUCAGGAGGAACACCGGUAGCGAAGGCGGUUCUCUGGGCAUGAUCUGACGCUGAGGAGCGAAAGUGUGGGGAGCGAACAGG
rnacentral:rRNA from 1 species